rnacentral:rRNA from 1 species
GACGAACGCUGGCGGCGUGCUUAACACAUGCAAGUCGAACGGUGAACGAGGGAGCUUGCUCCCUCCGGAUCAGUGACGAACGGGUGAGUAACACGUGAGCAAUCUUCCCCGAACUCUGGGAUAAGCGUUGGAAACGACAUCUAAUACCGGAUACGACGCGGGAGGGCAUCCUCUCCGCGUGGAAAGAACUUCGGUUCGGGUUGAGCUCGCGGCUUAUCGGCUUGUUGGGGAGGUAUCGGCUCGCCAAGGCGACUACGGGUGGCCGGCCGGGGAGGGUGACCGGCACAAUUGGGACUGGAACACGGCCCAGACUCCUCCGGGAGGAGGAGGUGGGGAUUAUUGAACAAGGGGGGAAAGCCGGAUGCAGCAAGGCCGCGUGGGGGAGGACGGCCUUCGGGUUGUAAACCUCUUUUAGCAGGGAAGAAGCGAAAGUGACGGUACCUGCAGAAAAAGCACCGGCUAACUACGUG